CCUACGGGUGGCAGCAGUAAGGAAUAUUGGUCAAUGGACGCAAGUCUGAACCAGCCAUGCCGCGUGGAGGAUGAAGGUCCUCUGGAUUGUAAACUUCUUUUAUUUAGGAAGAAACUCCCGAUUUCCAUCGGGAUUGACGGUACCAGAUGAAUAAGCACCGGCUAACUCCGUUCCAGCAGCCGCGGUAAUCCGGAGGGUGCAAGCGUUAUCCGGUUUCAAUGGUGCGUAGGGGUGCAUGUAUGUCAGUGUAGAAAUCUCCGGGCUUAACCCGGAAACUGCCAUUGAUACUAUUUGUCUUGAAUACUCUGGAGGUGAGCGGAAUAUGUCAUGUAGCGGUGAAAUGCUUAGAUAUGACAUAGAACACCCAUUGCGAAGGCAGCUCACUACGGAAAUAUUGACGCUGAGGCACGAAAGCGUGGGGAUCAAACAGGAUUAGAUACCCCUGUAGUC
rnacentral:rRNA from 1 species